GAGACCACCGCCGAGACCGCCGCCGCCUCCGAGACCACUACCGAAGCCGUAGCCGCCGCCGCCGCCGCCACCACUUCCGUAGCCAGAGGAGACGCUGCUCGUGACCACAGCUGCAGAGAAAGGAGGGAGAACUUGCCACAGGAGCCACAACUAGGGAUGGGAAGAUGGAGACAGAGACUGGAGCUGCCCUCUCGGAGUCUCUGCUUGGCACACCAUGUCCUCGUCCUGAGUAGCUAAGACAAAAUGCAGGGGAUGGAGUCUGGUUUCCAUCUGACUUUCUUUUCAGCUUUGGGAUCAUUAAACAUGAAGAGAGGCAGAGGAGGAGGUCAGAGCGAUGCUGUGUUUGAAGAACUUGACUGUUGUCAAUUUUGAAGAAGGGAGAAAGGGACUAUGAGCUAAGGAAUGGAGGCAGGCAGCCUCUAAGAGCU